rnacentral:rRNA from 1 species
GAAUGCUGACAUAAGUAACGAUAAUGCGGGUGAAAAACCCGCACGCCGGAAGACCAAGGGUUCCUGUCCAACGUUAAUCGGGGCAGGGUGAGUCGACCCCUAAGGCGAGGCUGAAAAGCGUAGUCGAUGGGCAACGGGUUAAUAUUCCCGUACUGGUGGUAACUGCGAAGGGGGGACGGAGAAAGCUAAAUCAUCCGGGCGACGGUUGUCCCGGUUUAAGCGUGCAGGUGGACUGACCAGGCAAAUCCGGUCGGUUGUUAACACUGAGGCGUGACGACGAGCCACUACGGUGGUGAAGUGAUUGAUGCUCUGCUUCCGGGAAAAGCCUCUAAGCUCCAGGUUACCAUUAAUCGUACCCCAAACCGACACAGGUGGUCAGGUAGAGAAUACUCAGGCGCUUGAGAGAACUCGGGUGAAGGAACUAGGCAAAAUGGUGCCGUAACUUCGGGAGAAGGCACGCUGGCACUAGGUGAAGUCCCUUGCG